GAUGAACGCUGGCGGCGUGCCUAAUACAUGCAAGUCGAGCGAACAGACGAGGAGCUUGCUCCUCUGACGUUAGCGGCGGACGGGUGAGUAACACGUGGAUAACCUACCUAUAAGACUGGGAUAACUUCGGGAAACCGGAGCUAAUACCGGAUAAUAUAUUGAACCGCAUGGUUCAAUAGUGAAAGACGGUUUUGCUGUCACUUAUAGAUGGAUCCGCGCCGCAUUAGCUAGUUGGUAAGGUAACGGCUUACCAAGGCGACGAUGCGUAGCCGACCUGAGAGGGUGAUCGGCCACACUGGAACUGAGACACGGUCCAGACUCCUACGGGAGGCAGCAGUAGGGAAUCUUCCGCAAUGGGCGAAAGCCUGACGGAGCAACGCCGCGUGAGUGAUGAAGGUCUUCGGAUCGUAAAGCUCUGUUAUUAGGGAAGAACAAAUGUGUAAGUAACAAUGCACGUCUUGACGGUACCUAAUCAGAAAGCCACGGCUAACUACGUG
rnacentral:rRNA from 1 species